rnacentral:rRNA from 2 species
UGACGUAAAAUCUCACCAGAGUAACAAUUGGAGGGCAAGUCUGGUGCCAGCAGCCGCGGUAAUUCCAGCUCCAAUAGCGUAUAUUAAACUUGUUGCAGUUAAAAAGCUCGUAGUUGAAUUUCUGCGUUGCCCGACUCGGCUACUUGCCUUGUCUGGUUUCGCUUUUGGGGUUUUCCCCUUUUUACUUUGAGAAAAUUAGAGUGUUUCAAGCAGACUUGUGUCUUGAAUACUUCAGCAUGGAAUAAUAAAGUAGGACUUUGGUUCUAUUUUGUUGGUUUGUGAACCUUAGUAAUGGUUAAUAGGAACGGUUGGGGGCAUUCGUAUUUAACUGUCAGAGGUGAAAUUCUUAGAUUUGUUAAAGACGAACUACUGCGAAAGCAUUUGCCAAGGACGUUUUCAUUAAUCAAGAACGAAAGUUAGGGGAUCGAAGACGAUCAGAUACCGU